GGCUCGUUGGUCUAGGGGUAUGAUUCUCGCUUAAGGGUGUGAGAGGUCCCGGGUUCAAAUCCCGGACGAGCCC
rfam:Danio rerio chromosome 4, GRCz11 reference primary assembly.